rnacentral:rRNA from 1 species
GAUGAACGCUGGCGGUAUGCUUAACACAUGCAAGUCGAACGGUCACUUCGGUGAUAGUGGCGGACGGGUGAGUAACGCGUGAGAAUCUGUCUUCAGGUCGGGGACAACAGUUAGAAAUGGCUGCUAAUACCGGAUGUGCCUUUGGGUGAAAGAUUUAUUGCCUGAAAAAGAGCUCGCGUCAGAUUAGCUAGUAGGUGGUGUAAGAGACUACCUAGGCUCCGAUCUGUAGCUGGUCUGAGAGGACGAUCAGCCACACUGGAACUGAGACACGGUCCAGACUCCUACGGGAGGCAGCAGUGGGGAAUUUUCCGCAAUGGGCGAAAGCCUGACGGAGCAAUACCGCGUGAGGGACGAAGACUUUUGGGUCGUAAACCUCUUUUCUCAAGGAAGAUGAUGACGGUACUUGAGGAAUAAGCAUCGGCUAACUCUGU